AUUGCCACUAGUUUCACCAGCUUCAUUUAUCAUCCUCACGCAUACGUUCAAAUUUUCUCUAAUCUCUCACUCACUCUCGGUGGACUGUUGCAGCUGAGGAAGUUGGCUCUCUCUCAAGCUCUCUCUCUUGUCUCUCAUCUCUCACUCCCUCUCGGUGAAAGAACAUCCUUGGAGAUUUUUUUUUUUUUUCAAGCAGAAAUUUGUCUUGUUUUGGUGCACCCACUGAAGCUUCGGUGGAGGGUAUUUUAGGUGGUUGAUUGAAACACUAAAGACUCGCACUCUCUCCUUGAACGAAUCGGCAGUAUAAGGCUUAUGUGGCACCAGGAUUGGAUUUUAGAGAUUCAUAGUAGCAUUAGUGGUGCUAUCUGUGGGAAACUCAGAUUAUCGACUGAUAUCCCACAUCUAAAACCAUUUCUUUCUUUUUCUUCAUUUUCUGUGCUUCUUGUGAGUUUAAUUUCUAAUCCUAAUUUACUUCCAUCUUUUAUGUUUUUUUGCUAUUUUCAAUGGCUACAAAACUCAGAAACGCUGGCAAGAAUGUGGUGGCUAAGACUCCAAUGACUAGGACCAACCCAUUAGCAGCUGCGACUACCCAGAAUAUGAUUAGUUCUAAUACUGCUAGUGCCCAAGCAUCGCCAAGCAAUAUCGGAUUGCCUCCUAACAAGCUUGACCAGUAGGGCCCACCAUAAGGAUAACACCAAAGUAAGUUCACUAGCGCAUUAGGAAAAUGGAGGCCCAAUUUGCUUUCUUAAAGGGGCUAAUCCUUGGAACCAGUGCAUCGCCUAAAGCAGUUGCCUUUGGGGCAUAACUCUAUCCAAGAGCACCAUUUAGAGAGGCCAAUCUAGUUAAAUUUAGAGGAAUAAGUCCUAAGGUUAACACAGGGACAAAGACUGAGCGGAUAGACAGACGAACAAGAAGAACUUUUUAAUGAGUCACCACAACUAAAGGUGAACUAGGGCUUGGUGAAAGCUUUUUAGAGGUAUCGGAAGUAGGUGGAGGAAGAAAAUUUUAGGAUUGGGGAUGAGUCUCCACUAUCUGAACCAAUAUUGGCUGAACUGUUCCUACCAAAGUUCAAGCUUCUUGUCUUAGACAAGUAUGUAGGGACAACAGACUUGAGGAGCCACGUGGCAAAUUUUAGAACAAUGAUGAUGCUCCAGAAUGUGAAUGACUACCACAUUUAUCGGGUAUUCCCAAUAACACUAACCAUGCUAGCUCAAAAAUGGUACCAACGUCUCAAGCCCGGGUAAUCCAAAAUUUUCACUAGCUUGCCAUUGAGUUUAAGAAUAAGUUCAUCUCUUACGUCUCAUUGAAAAACCUAUCUUCGGACCUUUAGAAGGUAAAGCAGCAGGAGGGGGAGUCUUUGAGGGAGUACAUUGCUUAAUUUAAUGCUGAAGCAAUAUAGGUUGACAACUUGAACUAUGAAAUUGCAUGUGAUGCCUUAAAGAAGGGGACAAGGAACAUCAAGUUCUUUGAUUCAUUGAUAAAAAACCCAGUGAUGGACUACUACUAGUUGAUAGAGAGAGUUCAAAAGUACAUGUAAUUGGAUAAUGAGUGACAAGCUCUAUGUGAGGAAAGGAAGCUUGAGUAGAAUAAUUAGAGGAGGCAGAAUAGGAGGAAUUAUAGUUCAAAUCGAAGAGGUUAUUGCUCAGAUAAGAAUACUGAGUAGAGCAAAGAGAGAUUCCAUAACUAUAAGCCAUUGAACGAGGUGAUAUCCAAAGUCCUAAUAUGGAUCUAGAAGAAUGGCAAACAGAUAAAAUGGCUAAAGAGGCUCAACCCAGACACUUCAAGAAAGGAAAACAAAAGCAAGUACUGCAGGUUCCAUGAGGACCACAGUCACAACAUUGAUGAGUGCAAGUAGCUCAAAGAUGAUAUUGAGCGACUAAUUAGGGAUGGUCGGCUUAGAAGGUUUGCAAGGGAUAGCCAAGAUGACAGACCAUCACAAAGAAGGGGAUUAACCUCCGGAAGUAAAGAUAUCACCAUCACUAAGAAGGAUGAUGACCCAAUUAGAGUAAUUAAUGUCAUUGUAGGAGGGCUGACCACUGAGAAGUUUGGUAAUCAGAGGCCAGCAGUAGCAGCACCAACAGAACAAUCCUCUUGGUUGAUAAGGAAGAGCUGAGCGAGGAGAUCAUCAUGUGUUCGGUCCUAGUGACCAUGAGGUAAAACAACCACAUUCUGACCUUUUAAUGGUCUUUAUGCAGAUGUGUAGGUUCACAGCAUAUAGAGUGUUGAUUGACACAGGAAGCUUAGUCAACCUCAUCACCAAAGAGCUGUUCGAGAAACUUGGCCAUAAAUAGAUAGUUUGGCAAAGGUCAGGUACCCAUUGGUCAGCCUUAGAGAUAAGAUAAUUCCCAUACUCGAAACUGUAAAUCUAGCAAUGAUCUUAUGCAACAAAGGAUUCAAGAGAGAGAUUUACACAAAAUUCACGAUUUUUGACAUCCCACUAUCACACAAUAUCAUCCUCGGUCGUCCGAUUCUAAAUAGCAAUGGAAUAAUGAUCAGCAUGCAGUGGCUAUGUGAUACACUUGUAUUAUAUAAGUAUUUUAAGGUAAUUUGAUGCAACAUGAUUGAACAAGUUCGAAAGUGAAAAAGUACAAGUCGACCACUGGGAGAAUUGCAUAGCUUGUGCAAUGGAGGUCUUGACUCAUGCAACCUGCUGCUAGGGAAGGAUCGAUACAUGAGCUAUGUACAGGAUUUCGUGUAAUGGUCCUUGGCCUAUGUAACUUCUUAUACCUCUAAUUGAGAGCCGUUUCAUGAUUCUAAAGACUUACAUGGCCUUGAUCCAUGUAAUUGUAUAUGAGUCACGUACUAUGCGCUAGUACAGACUCUAACUUUAUUCGCAUGACUUGGGAAGACUUCUGAGGCCUCUAAGACUCUGAAUUGAUGGUUUUUACGCCAUAUAUAAAUAUGAGAAGUAAGAAACAAGCAAGGGAUCACACCCUUUACAUUCAAGCUUAGCAAUUUGUAGAGAUUUGCACCAAAGCUCUUGGGAGAGAUUCACAACCUAAGUUCCCAAAGUCCAAAGCUAUAGAGUCUUUUAUUAGGGUUCUUUUUUUCUAUUUCUUUAGAUGUUUUCAUAUUGUUAUUUUAUUUUUAAUUUGAUUGUUAAACUUGCCAUGAGUGAGUAGUUUUCUUAAUUCUAGAAUUAGGGAUGCAACAUUUUCAAUUUUGUUAUGGAUUUACAUUAAUUUUAUUUAAUAAAUUUGGAGUUUUAUUCUUUGAUUCAA